GACAGAGGUGCCAAGCGUUAGGCGGAAUCACUGGGCUUAAAGCGUGUGUAGGUGGAAGCGUAAGUACCUUGUGAAAUCCCACGGCUCAACCGUGGAACUGCUUGGUAUACUGCGUUCCUUGAGCCAACUAGGGGCUAUCGGAACAAGUGGUGGAGCGGUGAAAUGCGUAGAUAUCACUUGGAACGCCAAUGGUGAAAACAGAUAGCUGGGGUUGUGCUGACACUGAGACACGAAAGCCAGGGGAGCAAACGGG
rnacentral:rRNA from 1 species